AGGGACCUGAGAAAAAGAAAAAAAUAAAAGAAAUUAAUUUUUCCGAAGAAAUCGCAAAUGAUUAUGGAAUUUUUAUUCUAUAGAUAAAAUUUUAAAAAAGUUCUGUAACAUAUAUAGAUUUAAGAAAGGAAGCAAGAGAUUUCAAUAUAAUUUAAAUAUAAAACAAAAUUAAAAAUUGCACUUCUUUUUGCUAAUAUAAUGCACUAAUAUUAUAGUACGUUCAAAUUAAUAUUGAAAAAUGAUUAAUUAAACAUUGAUUAAUUAAUGGUUGAUUACAUUACACAUUGAUUGACACUGAAUAUUGAAUCAAAAUUCAAAAUUAUUCAUUUACAAUUCUUCGUUAUUUCGAGAUUUAUAAUCUUUUUCAAAAUUUAAUGAUACAAUUAUUAUUACGUGUAUAUUUGUUAGCAGUUUCGUAUCGAGUUAUUUAGUUUAAAAUUGUCCAUUAAGCGUUAAACGCGUUAAAAUGGAACGACGAGUUGUACGAGGUGACGACAAUGGAUAAAUCAUGAUCGAGAAUAUUCGUUUUUCAUGCGAUCAUAUCACGAGAGAUGGAUAAAACGUAACCGAGUCUCCAAACAAUCAAUUAAGGGAGAUCGUUUCACAAUUAAUUGUCGCGAAUACAACAUUUGACGCGUCGAUGGAAAGGAUCGGACUGACUAUUGAUGUUCCAGCAAUCAUUGAAGGCCAUCGUGUAUAAUUGGAGGCGAUUGGUUAACAUAGUCGAGACUGUAGUAAUUUCUCGUAUUAUUUAUUUUUAUACAUUUUCCCUCCUCUCUCCCUCUCUCUUUUUUAUUGUUGUCCGACGAUUUUUUUUCUCCAUGGCAAAAUUGUUUUUGCAACAUUGAUGUAAACAAAAACGAGCGUAGUAUCAUGGAAGCGUAAAAAAUAAUGUACACAUGCAAAUACCUAGACGACCUUCGCACUUUUUGUUUUAUUUUAUUUUUUGUUUAUUUGUUUGUUUACUUUUUUUCUUUUUUUUUUUUUACGAAUGAUAAAUCUAUCCGGGGAGAGGAACUGGAAAACGAUUUUUUCUCCUGAACUCACAGUUCAUGACGCUUUUUUCAAUGAUUUCCACUGGAAAUGUAUAUCAAUGGCUCGAAAAAAUUCCAACUCUUGACGCAUGCAAAUCGCAUUCUUUUUUUUCUCGUUUUACAGUUUAUAAAAGGGAUUUGUAGUUUUUUUUUUUAUUUCUUUUUUUCCCUUUUUCAUUCAAUAGAUCAACACGUUCAGAGGGAUAUCGAGUUACCUAAUACACGGAGAUUCUCGAUGCUGUUAUAUUUUGCCGGUGCACGCACCACGUCGAAUUUGAUCGAUCGAUAUUUUGAUGAAAUAUCCAAGGAGUGAUAUCGAUUUUAUAUUACGUUUAAACGGCAUGUAUCUUCCAUACUCGAAUCAAAAUUUAAUUUAUAUUCCCUCGACUUUUCCAUUUUGUUCUCUAACACAUUUUCCAUCACGGUUUGAAGUCAAAAAUUUUGAAGAGAAUUAUUUCUAUUUUUGCAGUUGUUACAGAUAUAUUAAAUUAAAUUUGUACGCAGUUCAUCUUCAUUAUAAAAUCAUUUAUCCACGAUAAAUCAUUAUGUCAUAAAAGAUAUUCUUAUCAAUAAAACGAAAUUGAGUUGUUAAAAAUUAUCCACGAACUUCUAUAAUUUAUCAAAUUACUUCCAUUAGAGAUCGAUAGUUGUGAGCGAAAACACACUGAUGAUUUCGAGAAAAAGCCGAGGGAAUAGAAGAAAACUCUGGAUAAAAAGAGACCAAUGUGCGAGAGCCGUUUCUGGCUUCGUUGCAACAGUUUCGUCUCUUUGCCACGUUCUCGCGUUUGUUUCUCGGCGCGAAAGCUGGUAGAGGGAAAGCCAGAAAAGACCAAGGAGCACGGGCAGAAAAAGGAAAUCGAGGGAGAAAGGGAAGCCAGGGCGUCUUUAAAGACCAGUUCCCUCUCUGUCCAUCGUUGUCCUGCAUCGUCCAAUGGUCUCUUUAAUCUCCAGUCCUGUCUGCCAUUCGUUCUCGAAGUUCAUCCCCUUUUGCGGAGACGAACCUUUUUCCUCUUCCUUUUUUCCUUUCUGUUUAGCCCGGUGCCUUCCACGGCGGCCUUUCGAUUCGGUUCGCGCCCAUGGCCUGGCUCAAUGGCGCGGAUCGAAAUUCCGGCGGAGUAGCCGAGGCUGGAAUUGAACGAAAUUCGCCGCUGGAUAGCUGGGAAAGGGACAAAGCGUGGCGUCGAUGUGCGAGGAUUGAGAAAUUUGAGGAUGAGAUUUGGCACGUUUGGAUCGUAUGUAAUACAAGGAUGCAGCUAUAAUCUAAAAAUAUGUACUUCUUUUUUUCUCUCUCAGAGAAAGAGAGUAUUGGAGCUUUCGUUUGCUCGAGUAUCGAAUGAAAAUUCGCUUUAUAAUCUAGAAAUUUGAAGAAAAAAAAAAUAUAGAGAGAAAAAUAAUUAUUCUUACGGUUCUGAGUUGAUCUAACUUCGAUGGUGACCUGUCGAUCCGUCACGGAGUUCAGAAUCCACGUGCAUUUCUGUUGAUAAUACUGAUUGAGCUUUAAGCCGCUGCUGGCCAAGUCACCGCCAUUCACCUCGCCUUCCGGCUUUGUCGUUGUGUGAUAACCGCAGUAAGUGUCCUUGAUAAACUCGUAAGCCGCACGGAAAUUGAGGCCUGCCUUCGAGGAUCUCGACCAUUCGAUGUACACUGGCAUCCAGCUACGGAUACCGACUGGCAGCCAGUCCUGUGGGAUAUACAGAAUGACUUGUAUCCGUGGAAACGGUUACAUAAAGUUUAUUUAACUUUCUCAACGAACAACAUUGUAAAUUGAACGUGAAUAUUCAUCAUGGAAAUUGUGUAACGCUUAAUAUCUAUUAUUAUAUUCAUAGGAGGAAUUAAUUUUAAUUUAUAAAUGUUGGUAAUGUAAAAAAUUAAUAUUAUUAACCAUUAUUUUGAGGUAUUUAUGAAAGUGUGUUUGCAUCAUUAGAAUGUAUUAUUAACGUAGAAUGGAGUUUGCGCGUAUAGAAAUUGGUUACCAUUGAAAGGAACUAAUUGUUAGACCAUGUUGAUUGGACGUAUUGAUUAAUCAAGAUUUUCAUUAUGUAUAUAAUUAUACAGAUUGUGUAGUAAUUAGUUGAUUACUUCUUUCAUAGAAGAACAGUUAUUUUGUUUCAUUAAUCGAAGACUUGUAUAUUCUGGGAAAAAUUACAAUUGUUAAAUAAAUAAACUCUGUGUAUAAACAUUAUAAAUUUUAGAUGAAUCAAUAGAUGUUCUCAAAUUCAUAGAUUAAAAUAAUACGUAUCCAAUUACUUCGCGAACACUUUCAUAAUUUCUUCUCCUCGAUAAUCGAAAGUCGAGAGGCACAAAUUCCUCGAAUCACCAGAAACGAGUUUCUCGUUUUAAGUGUACACUCGAAACCAUCUCGAUCGAAAAUCAUAACCCGAUGGUGCUCCUCGAUGACCACGAAUCGUUCGAUUCGAAAAAAACUGCUCGCCAAGCAUUCCUACGCCGUUCUCCUUUUUCCAUCCCUCUCUCGUUCCUUUUAUUUUCUCACCGCAUUUUAUUUCUCACCGCUCACGUUCGACUGUCACCGUUUCAUUCAACUUUCAUUCACGGACAAACGGGCCCGUUCACACCGAUUGUACCGGUGGGACAUUGAAUGCUCUCUGCCGUUCCUAUUCAACGCCUAUUCCAUCAACUGGCGUGGAAUUACUUCGAACGAUUUCAUCGGCCGUUGAAUAAAACAAAUAAUGCCCGCGCGUACCGUACUAAAAAUAGACAACGUAGACAAAAGGGGAGAAAUUGUUUUUCGAAGAAUCGAGGUGGAAAAAAGGAAAGGAGGGAAGAAAGGGAAGGAGAGAGCAACGAUUUGCGAGGCGCCAUCUGUGAAACGCAUGCAAGCGUAUGACGGACGUGUUUUUCAUCAAUCUUUCGAGAAUCUUUUGGAGAUGUUUCAAGGUCAUCUCGUUAUUUUCUCCUUUUUUCCUCUUUCUUUUGUGUAUUUAGAAAAAAUUGUGAAAAAGUGAAAAUUUUAAAAUCGGAUAAAAGUGAUUGUGCGAAGAAUUUUCGAAGAUAAAGUAUUUCGUUGAAAUUUUGUAAAUUUUCUACGAAGAUCUAUUUGUUUCCAAUUUUCAUAUUUGUCGUUGCUCCAUGUUCCUAACCAAUCCUUCGAUCCUUUAAAAAGAGUCAGAAUCAGAAGAUUGAAAAAUAGUAGGGUAAAAUUAUUGCGAAUCAAAACAGAUAAAUUUUACAGAGUUUACUAUUCACCUGAUAAUUUCCACAAAGACAGGUGACGAUGUGACCGGUUUCAGAGACGAGCAGAAGAUGGUCCAUGCUCUCCAGGGUCUUGUUGCUCACGCACUGACAACCGCUAUCUCCGCAUUUGGUUUUGCAAGGGCUGUCCGGACUCUGCUUCAAACUGCUCUCCACCUUCGAGCAAAACAGUAACAACGACUUUGAAUCCAACGUUGUGCAACCAAGGCACAUCUCGCCCAUAAGAAUUCUUGAUAGCUGUCAAUAACCUCUCAAUAAUUGUAAAAUCAAUUGUAAAAUUUAAUUAAAUAUCUUAUAUUAAUUUUAAUGCAGAAAUAA